GUUUGGGUAUACAUUUACAUACAAAUAUUAGUUCCUUUUGGCAAACAAAAGCUCUCUAGAAAGAGCCAUUUUAUUUCAUCGACAAGGUACACACACACACACAAGUACACGUUUUAAUUAUGCCAAAAUGUUGCCCGAAAUUCGAUCGUCGAUGACUUCCUGCUUCAAUCAAACCACCCAGUUAACCCCCGUGGCGUUUCGUUGCCCAGACCCCCAGCCCUGGCUACUGUGUGACGUACUGUGUAAAUCACAGCGGACAAAGACGCAAUACAUAAUCUUCAUCGCUCAAAAAAAAAAAAGAUAUGCUUGCGACGUGCGCAGCAAUUAAAUAUCGACUUCAGUGCAAUCUCGCACAGAGACGAAUAAUAAGGUACUCGGUCCUGUCAGACGUACGAGGAAAUCAAUUUAUUAUAUUUAAAAAAAGCACAAAAGCACACACAUAACAGAGCUGCUACCUUGUCGAGACAUGUUUCGAAACGUUUGCUCAGUGUGUGUGCGUUUGUUGGUAGUAGAGUUGCUCUGGUAUUUCGCUUUGUGGUGUGCGUUUGUACGGCCGUUGAAGGCCAGCUGAUGAUAAACCAACACCAAUCCCAGCUCCGUUUCCACAUGGCCUUGCUGCGCUUCGUUUGUGUUGCAAUCAACCCGUUUUUUUUUUUCUUUUUAAAUGUGUCACACCGAAAAUGUGUUGAGCGAAAAAAUGAACCUAGCACGGGGGAACGAGCAAAUUGAGCUCUUUUAAAAAUGUAUGAUUAAAUGUACAAUUUCAGCAGUUUUUAUUGAUUGCACUGCAAAUGUAAUGCCCGUUUGCUCCUCACACAGUAUUUGUGUAAAAACGUGCGAAGCGUUUGCUCUGUAUGGGAAAAUAGCCAUUCAUCCAUCCAUUCUCCACGCUCUCCUGUAGUGGUGUAAGCGCUGUGAGUAAAAUCAAAGGUCUUUUUUUGUACCUUUACCUCCAACCUCGAGCAACCGUUUUUUUUUUUUGUUGUUGCAUUACCAUCUAUUAUUCCCGUUUCCCCAAUCACCACCAUACAUUUACAUUCAUUUGACCGUUGCAGUGCAUCCGCAUGCACCCUACCAACGCAUACACUCGCACUCGCUCGCUCGCUCGCUCGCACACACACAUACCAAUAGCGUGUAUCGUCGUCGCUGGCGCAAGGGGUUAGUUCGUCGAAAGCGACGUCCGUUACGCUCAGAAAGGUGCGAGCCGUCGACCGAGACUGGUGCUGCUUUUUGCCCUGUGCUUCCUCUGUCUGCUGAACGCCGUGGCGUACGUGACGUGUCGUUGUAUUUGAAAGCGAGAAAGCAAGCUAGCCGAGAAAUAGUGCUUGUGUGUGUGCGUUUGUGUGAAUGCAGAAUGAACGAGAUGUUGUUUCUUCUUCAUUGUGACAGUAGCAGCUUCACGAUGCACGGAAAACCAGCACCGGUCGAGACAGCUACGCAUCUUUCUCCCAUCUUAACUCUGCUUUUCCUUGCCAGAAUUUUUUAUGGGACCUGACUUGCAUUACUAUAGAGUGUGGCCAAUGGAUGUACAUCCUUCACUAAAGGGCGAAAGAAGCUUACGGUACUGGAGAGCACUUUUCUAUUUGACGGUUCUAGCGGCGGCGUUUUGCAUUCCUGCUUCGAGCAAAAGCAAAGGAGGCGAACGAAAAAAAACAGAGAGUGAGAGAGACAUACGAGGAAAGCGAAUGGCACUGAUGGAAAACCUUUCAAGGAAGGCCACAUCUUCUACCCAAGCUUCCAGGCGGGUAUACAAUGGGUGUACUUUUGUUUUUUUUCUCUCUAUCAUAUGCAAAGUAUUUUCGUGGCAAAAUCGGGCAAAUCUUAGCUUUCUUUGACAGCCGUACCUCCUCUCGACUGCCUCCAUCCGUCUUUCGACCAUUAUGAGAACCGCCGGCACUACCACUGUAUACUUAAGGGCCAGCAGCUGCGCUUUCACGGCAACGGGUAACCCCGUUUUGUUCACCCAGAUCUGACGAAUAUUUCGCCCACGCGGGGCCCACGUGAGACAUUCGUGGCUUUGGGAUCAAUUUCGACCUUUCUACACUAAGUAUCAAAUGCAAAUGGGUUUGAGUGUUGGGCCAAUCCUCGGUGAGAAGUGAGUUACUUAUUUUGUGACAGGAAAAAAAGAUGUCGUAUUAUACCUCACCUCGGUGGGGUGGAAAAACAGUGGGGAAACAGGCCCGUCAUACCGUGUCCCAAUGAUGGAGAAGCUUCCGGCUAGCCGGCGUGACAGAGCAGUCUUCCGAAGAAGAAAGGUAUCUUUUGCAAUCGUACUUAAUUUCAACGAUAUUUUUUGUUUUUCCUCUCAGCAAAACCUGCCAUGUGGUGCAGCAAUAGAGCGCAAAAAAAAAAGAAAAUACGUAACACUUUUUCCUUCACGUACGUUUCUCACAUCUCACCGAGUGAUGCCUCAUGGCGUUUUAGUAAACGGCCAGAAGAGUAGAUUUGCGAAACCAUUUCGAGUCGUGCUGACUCGCUUAAUGCACACCGAGCUGUUUAGCUUCGCCCCCUUUUUUUAGGAUACAGCGUCGUAUUGAGAUGGGAUACAAUCAUAGAACUAUAAGGACGCACAAUCACAUGUGUAACAGACAGAGAGAGAGAGAGCUCGGCGAGACCUCAAGGGACGUCCGUUCGGCUAAAAAGCGGUGGCGACCCGCUGUGAAGACGAUUUGAUCCCGACCAGAGACAGCGAGCAGGUGCAACUGUUGGUGUGGUGUAGAUUUGCUUAUCACCUCCCUAUUCUCAGGUUGCGCUCCUCCAUUGCCUGGACUACCACUGCCUUCACACUUCAGAAUACACGCAGUUGCGAAGGAUGGGGAACGAAUUUUUGCUCACACUGUACUGGAUUUGCUACGUCUGUAGGAAAGGGAUUGCUCCAGCUCAUUCCAAUCGGUUCAUUAGGCCAUCCAAUACCCGGGCCCCUCAUCAUAAAAUUGUAUCUCCUCAUCAUAGAAUUGUGCAACGCGCCGAAGACAACUCCUGGCUCGCGCUUAGGCGUACCUGCGUACGGGAAAGAUAUGGAAGCUGUUUCCAGUUUGGCAAAUUACUAGCGACCGUUUUCAAAGAUGCCUAUCGUCUUCGUACCAUUGCGUCCAGACGAUUGGUCAGUUUCAUCCAGCUGCACUACUACUCCAACUGGGCCACUGGUUGGCAAUAAGUGGCUGUGGAUUAAAGUAUCUGAUGGCGGAGAAUGGAGUUGGUCUACAACCGCGCGUGUGUGUCUACUGCAUUCUUCUAAGGCGUAUGGUCGCUGCGUGAUGGCCGGUUUGGAGACGUCAGCGAUGGUGCAACCUGCCCAUCGCUUCGUUGCAGCUUGCUGUCUGGCCAAUUUUUCUCUUCACUUAUUUUUUUGUCUCCUCGGAAGACGGGCAUCAGACAUGCAAUAGAAGCUACGACGUGUAUAGAAAAACGUCUUCACGCUGUUCCAGUUGGAAGAAGCUGGUGGAGAC